rnacentral:rRNA from 1 species
CAAGCGUUGUUCGGAAUUACUGGGCGUAAAGGGCUCGUAGGCGGCCAACUAAGUCAGACGUGAAAUCCCUCGGCUUAACCGGGGAACUGCGUCUGAUACUGGAUGGCUUGAGUUUGGGAGAGGGAUGCGGAAUUCCAGGUGUAGCGGUGAAAUGCGUAGAUAUCUGGAGGAACACCGGUGGCGAAGGCGGCAUCCUGGACCAACACUGACGCUGAGUGAGCGAAAGCCAGGGGAGAAAACGGG